CCCGCCCCCCUCGUCUCCCGCCCGCCUCAACGCCCCCGCCGCCAAAUCGGUUUCAAAUCGCGCGGCCGCCCGAUCGGCGUCCCCGGCGGCGGCGAUGGAGGUGGGCGACCUGCACAAGGUGUGGGAGAUCCGGGCGCUCAAGCGGAAGCCCGAGGAGCCCGCCGCCCGCGCGCUCCUCGACCGCAUCGCCAAGCAGGUCCAGCCCAUCAUGCGCCGCCGCAAGUGGCGCGUCAAGGUCCUCUCCGAGUUCUCGCCGAAGAACCCGAGGCUGCUGGGGCUCAACGUCAACCGGGGCGUCGAGGUGAAGCUGCGGCUCCGGCGCGACGGCCGCGACCUCGACUUCAUCCCCUACGAGGAGGUGCUCGACACCAUGCUCCACGAGCUAGCCCACAACGCGCGCGGGCCCCACGACGCGCAGUUCUACAAGCUCUGGGACGAGCUCCGCAAGGAAUGUGAAGAGCUUGUUGCAAAGGGUAUCACUGGGCCAGGACAAGGGUUUGAUGGUACAGGCAGGCGAUUAGGUGGAUUUUCAAUACAUCCACCACCACCAUCUCUCCGACAAGCUACACUAACUGCAGCACAGAAAAGGGCAAGGAAUGGAGCUCUAUUGCCGUCAGGCCCAAGAAAGUUGGGUGGAAACAAUGCCAUCAUGAGUGCUCUUAGUCCAGUACAAGCUGCUGCCAUGGCUGCUGAAAGGAGGAUGCAGGAUGACUUAUGGUGCGGAUCACAUAAUGAUUCUGGCAUCGAUGAUUCAGAAGAUGUUGUUAUUCUUGAGCAACCACCUAAGUUGACAACAAGGGAUGGAAAAAACACAAAGCGUGCAAAAAACACAAGGUGUGAUUCUUCUAGCAGUUCUGCAGAACCCAGCACUUCAUCUGGAUCUCAAGUUCCAGCACGAGCUGAUUCCUCUUCUGGUAGAACGACUGAUGCGGACUUUAGUUCUAUGUGGGAGUGUAGUGCUUGCACUCUUCUUAAUCAGCCUCUGGCACCAAUUUGUGAAGUUUGUGGGACAGCGAAACCUAAAAUCGCAAAAGCCAAGUACGCAUCUUGGUCCUGUAAAUUCUGCACUCUGGAGAACUGCACUAAGCUUGAUAAAUGUUCGGCAUGCGAUCAAUGGAGGUACUCAUAUGGACCACCUGUAGCCACAUAUGGUCCAAGCUACGAUUGACUUACAUUGAAGGCUACAAGAAUACGAACUCCUGUGUGAGAGGUGCAUAGAGUGGUUUCUUUAUAGAGCUAAGGGCGAACCAAGUUACUACUGGAUUAGGCCUAGGGUGUUUACAAUUUUGUGGGAGGCGGCUGCUGCAAUGUUUAAAAUUGCCUCACCAGCAGCGGUUGCCUCUGUUGCCACCUACCAAGUACCACUGCAUGCCAACCCAAGCCUGUGGAGUCGCAGGAAGAUUUAGCAUCCAGGUCUGGGCACCUGUCGGCCUGCCAAUGGCUCCCAAUUCCUCUCUGGGAGCACUGAAUCCUGUAUGCUUUGGUGACUUCCGCUCGUGGUUGUCGAUUUAAAGAAACGUGGUCGGUUUUGGUUUUGUGCAAGGAUGCCUACAUGUUUGCAAAUUGCAGUAGUUGCUAUCAUUGCCUUGUUCAUCUCAUAUACAGUAGUGGCUCGCCUUUGCUAUCA